AGUGAACGCUGGCGGUAGGCCUAACACAUGCAAGUCGAACGGCAGCACAGUAAGAGCUUGCUCUUACGGGUGGCGAGUGGCGGACGGGUGAGGAAUACAUCGGAAUCUACUUUUUCGUGGGGGAUAACGUAGGGAAACUUACGCUAAUACCGCAUACGACCUACGGGUGAAAGCAGGGGAUCUUCGCACCUUGCGCGAUUGAAUGAGCCGAUGUCGGAUUAGCUAGUUGGGGGGGUAAAGGCCCACCAAGUCGACGAUCCGUAGCUGGUCUGAGAGGAUGAUCAGCCACACUGGAACUGAGACACGGUCCAGACUCCUACGGGAGGGAGCAGUGGGGAAUAUUGGACAAUGGGCGCAAGCCUGAUCCAGCCAUACCGCGUGGGUGAAGAAGGCCUUCGGGUUGUAAAGCCCUUUUGUUGGGAAAGAAAAGCAGCAGGUUAAUACCCCGCUGUUCUGACGGUACCCAAAGAAUAAGCACCGGCUAACUUCGUG
rnacentral:rRNA from 1 species